UUGAUCAACACAGCAACUUUGACCAGUCUGAGGGGUGGAGACAACCACACUAGUAAAUGGUCUGACCCAUAACAUUUAGUGUUAUAUGGAGAUGCAGCAGUCGGAGACGUCGUUAGAGGUGGGCAGGGCCCACUUGUAAGGUUGAAGAUAUUGUCCAUGUGGGCAGCUGCAAGUCUUCAGUGAUGUCAGCAGCAGCAGCAACAGCAACACCCCACAACUAUCUGCAAAGAUAAAAGUAUGGACAUUACUGGAUUUAUGAACUGAAGUUGAUGGAACUGGAAGAACUGGAGGUAUUGAUAGUGUGGUGGAUGGCAGAGGAGUGACUAGUGGCGCCACUAUUCUUGACCUCCAUGGCUAAAGGCGCCAUUGACCUGGAGGAGGGGGGUUAUGACGUCAGUGG